UUUGAUUCAAGGUUUAUUACGGGGUUUGCACAGGGUUGGAUAGUACUAGAAAGAUAGUAGUGAAUCCAGUAGAGAUUAGUUCUCGCUGAGUGAAUCCAAUAGAGGGCGGCAGUACAUCGACAUGAUUCAGACCAAAAAGAAGAAGAACAGCUAGCUGGCUGACAACAUCAACAAAACUGUCCCCGUGUCUUUAUAUUAUUACCGUAUUAUUAUAUAUGUAUCAGGACAAUCGUUGUCACUGGCUGUGAUUGACCUUUCCUCGGAGGACCGAAGACCAUGGGGAGAUAUCAAGUGAACCCUAUUCGAAAGUAUUUCACUUUCGAGCCCGCAUCCAACAAGUCCCUGUGCCAGAUUGUGGGUUGUGAGGCGAGGAUCGCCGGCAACCACGGCGGCAACCUGCAGCGGCACAUCGAGAAGAAACACCCGGCCGUGUACCGGGAGCUGCUGGGGCAGCCCGGCCUGAAGAGACACACCGCGGGGGUUGGAGGUCACACGGCGCUGCAUUCAGUUGAAGAGGGUGAGGAAGAAGAGGAGGGUGCGCCUGAGUAUGAUUCAGCUGCUUCCACUUCAAACCUCUUCUCGCACUAUCAUCCUCUCACCCCGCCGGAGAUCACAGAGCAGGCCAUCUCUUUCCGCUUGAAAGGCGAGAACGACGAAGACCUCUUGUCGAAUGACCUUCCCCCGCCCCACGCCCUGAGGCACGACAUGGUACUGCAGCAGUUCACCGACAUCAUGCUGGCAGACAUGCAGCAGAUCCAGGACCCCCUGCUGCUGAUGAAGCUCAGACGAGAUGUCACCGACCUGGUGUUCAAAGCUGUUGAAGAAGAUGCCAAGAGAAGUCAGAUCGGGAACAGAAAAGAGCUUUAUUGCCAGAUGCUUCCUCGCUUCCAGAUGUCCAGUGAGCCCUGUAGCAGCGGGGCCGGCCCGAGCUCAUAUAUAAAGAACUCUCGGAAGCAAAGGAGGGCCAGUAAGAGUCGGAGGAUGCCAGCCGGGGGGGGAGGAGGAACGGGAGACGAGUGGAGGGCGAGCAUGUGCGAGUUAAAUAGCGCUGCCACCCUUCAGACACACCCGGUUAAGACAGAGACUGAGCCGCUAGAGGAGAUGGAGUUACCGGUGUAUUUCUCCCCCAUCAACUUGGAGGGAACCAACGAAGGUUGAUCAAUUAAAUCAGUUUUUUUUAAUGGUUUGGAAAGAAAAACCUUUAGAAAACAUUUAGGGGUAAAUUAUUUUUGUAGGGCUACCUGCCCAAUAAAGUUUUCCUUCAAUGGUUGCUUUGAACUUAAUUUGUUAAUUUUUUUCUCAUGGGUUUCCAAUGUGGAAAUAUAUGUGCAAAGUUCCUUGAUGGUCCACUAGAGUUGGCUAAGUAAGAGAUGGUAACUAAUUUGGCCUUCUUGUGUAUCAGUCAUGCCUCUUCCGGUAGGGCCCAUGGGACCUAUGAGAUCGAAAAAUAUGAAUGGGUUUCAAUGGAGAGAAAGUAAUUAUUUUCUGGUCCCAUUCUUUAUAUGCCCUGGAUUACACAUAUGUUGUUGGUGGAUUUAAGUGAUAAUUUUUCAUGCAAAGAAAACUAAACAUUUUCGUGAAGAAGUUUGAUAAUGUUGAUUUCCACGCGAAUGAUAUACGUCACCACCCGCGCUCGGAAUUCCGGUACAGACAUGGCGAUCUCUCUGCUCCACUUCACCGCUUUUUUCCAAGGGAGAGGAUAAAAGCAUCGAAAGAGGUGCAUGGGCUCUGCCGGAAAGGGCGUGACUUUGCU
ensembl:lncRNA